rnacentral:sRNA from 1 species
UGUAUCUGAAGUCUGACGAGGAUGAGAACCUCCGGGGGCAAGAGGUUCGACUCGAGCGAAGCGAGAGAACGUUGCGUCAGCAACGGCCCGCAGGGCGAGCCACGCAGUGGCGAGUCAUCCUCUAUCAC